UAGGGAAUCUUCCACAAUGGACGCAAGUCUGAUGGAGCAACGCCGCGUGAGUGAAGAAGGUUUUCGGACCGUAAAGCUCUGUUGUUGGUGAAGAAGGAUAGAGGUAGUAACUGGCCUUUAUUUGACGGUAAUCAACCAGAAAGUCACGGCUAACUACGUGCCAGCAGCCGCGGUAAUACGUAGGUGGCAAGCGUUGUCCGGAUUUAUUGGGCGUAAAGCGAGCGCAGGCGGAAGAAUAAGUCUGAUGUGAAAGCCCUCGGCUUAACCGAGGAAUUGCAUCGGAAACUGUUUUCUUGAGUGCAGAAGAGGAGAGUAGAACUCCAUGUGUAGCGGUGGAAUGCGUAGAUAUAUGGAAGAAUACCAGUGGCGAAGGCGGCUCUCUGGUCUGCAACUGACGCUGAGGCUCGAAAGCAUGGGUAGCGAACAGGAUUAGAUACCCUGGUAGUCCAUGCCGUAAAACGAUGAGUGCUAAGUGUUGGGAGGCUUCCGCCUCUCAGUGCUGCAGCUAACGCAUUAAGCACUCCGCCUGGGGAGUACGACCGCAAGGUUGAAAC
rnacentral:rRNA from 1 species